GCCUUGUGCUGGAUUCUGUGGUUUGGGCGCACCAUGAAUGAAUGUGGGCCCCUUCGUAUGGAACACACAGAUUAGUAGCUGGUGUACCCAGUGUGCUUGAAGAAUCUGAAGUUGAUAACAUACACAAUAAACAGUGUUUGAGAAAGAUUAUUCCAGCAGGGUGUGUAGGAGGAAGGAAAAACCUGGGUCAGAAAGGACAGUGUGGCAGUGACUGUGGGAAUUUGGGCCAAAGGUGGAAUCUAUGGUAUUGGAAAGGAAGGCGUGAGGAAAGUAACAAUACACCUUGUAAUAAAAGCAGGAGUGGGAAGAAUUUGGUAAUAGAUGGUGAAGGAGAGAAAACAGUUAAGAAAUUUUUAAGUUAAUUUUUUUUUAGAUUUUUAUUUUUGCCUGCACUGGGUCUUCAUUGCUGAACACAGGCUUUCUCGAGAUGCAGCCAGUGGGGGCUGCUCUCUAGUUGCAGUGCACGGGUUUCUCAUUGCAGUGGCUUCUCUUGCUAUAGAGCACAUGGGCUCUGGGUGCACGGGCUUUAGUAGUUGUGGCUCAAGGGCUCUUAAGUGUGGGGUCAGCAGUUGUGGUACACAGACUUUGUUGCUCCAUUGCAUGUGGGAUCUUUCCAGACCAGGGAUCGAACUGGCAUCCCUUGGAUUGCAAGACAGAUUCGUAACCAGGUCCAUCAGGGAAGGCCCAAGAGUUAAGAAUUAAUCCUCCUUCAUGGUGAGUUUGGGCAGUAGGAAGGUUACUGCAGGCAAGGAGGAGGAGCUGGUGUGAGGGACCUGAGGGUGAGUUCCGUCCCUCCUGGGCCAUGUGAGGGCAGGUAUCCUCUAGGCGAUUGGACUUGGACACAGGGACAUCCUAAAGAGUUGUGGCUGCCUCGUAAAAGAGUGUCCUCGUCACUGUGGGUAUGCAAACAGCUUCAGAACAUUGGCCUGGGAUACUGUGGAAAGAUUUUAUCCAUCAGGUAGAAGGCUGGAGUCGACACAGUGAAAGUGGCUCCUGACUGAGGGAUUUGGUGAGCGUUGGCUGGGUAAGCACAUGUGUGGGAAGGACGCCUGUAUGUGUGGGAAGAUGGUUGGCACCCAUCGUCUCAACUUUGGCUACAAAAGGUGCCCGAGAUGCCUGGGAAGUGGGGGUUGAGGCCCAGGUGAGGCAUGUCAGCAGCCUAGGAUCCUGCCCCACCCACCCCCCGCCCCACCUUGGAAGGCCCUGGAGCCCAGGACUGUGCUGACUGCCAGGGCAUUUCCUGGAACUUGGCAGAGGAUGGAGCCCCUCCCUGCCUGCCCUGGCACACUCCAGGUACACUGUGUCCCGGGAUGUGGGGUGGGGGUGGGGGGUGGAAACCUUGCAGACACCCCAGGAGACUGGGGUGUAGGAAAGGUCCCCACCCCCCAGGAAGAGUCCUGGUUUGGGCAGACAUCUGAGCUCCCGCCCUGCGGCUGUCAUCCUCACAAUGGCCCCACCAGACCCGAGGGGACAGAGGCCCAGAGGAGGAAGGAGAAGCCUUGUGGCUGGGUGGCAGGAUUCGGAAAUUCCUCGCCUCUGGACCGCACCCGCCCUUGAACACCUCCCGGUCUCUUUGGGCAGAGCGCAAGCCAGACAGAGCUGGGGACAGUGAAGUGGCCAUCCUCAGCCCUGUGUGUGCCAGGAGCCCCCCUCCCGGGGGGUGGGGGGCGGGUGGCCCCGCUGCAGGAGGGCAGGGGCGGCAGAGGGAGCCUGGCGUGGGCGGCUGGGACAGAGUCCUUUUUGAAGGAGGUGGGGACCCCGUGAAGUACGUGACUUCUGACCCUUCAGCCUGCACGCUCCAGUUAGCAGGACAGAGACCCCUCCCCAUGCAUCCCCAGCCUUCCCGGGCUUUCUGCCCUGCGGGGAGGCCCUGUCACCCCGCCCCCCACAACACCCCCCCAGGCAUCCUUGAGAGGACCAGCUGGAACUGGGGGCUGGGAGCAGGCAGAGUCCUGCCAGGGGUCUCAGACCCCUAGCCUGUCUCCCCCUACCCCUCCCUCGACACAACUGCUGGUUUAAAGCAAAACCUGAUUCCGUCCUUUCUGCUGCUCGGUGGUGCUGGCACUGCUGCCUGGGGUUAUUUUUAGCAGGGAUGCGGGAACGCACAUUUCUCCCGGACUUUCACUGGGGACACCCCCACCCCGCCAGCCAAGACUCCCCCUGGGGAGGCUGUUUCGGAAACCCCCCCUCCCAGAAAGGGGAAACGGGUGUGCUUUCUGUUCCUCCAACUCACCAGAACAGGAGUUGCGGUCAAGCCUGGGGCUACCCUGGUGGGAAAUUCUAGGUUCCAAAGCCUUCAUCCCUGGUCUCUGUGUUCCCUUAAAUCUGGGGGGCCUGAUGCUCAGUGUGUGGGAGUUGGGGUCCAAGGAGAGCCAGCACUAUGGACUCCAUGGGGGCACCAGUUAUUCUGGGUGGUGUUUAUGUGGAUACUUGC
ensembl:lncRNA